UUGGCUUUAUCCUGCCUAGGUAUGAUGCAAAUUUGUUUUCAACACGUGUAUUUGAAGAAAAGGAUGACCAAGUUUAAAGGGAAUUUUGUAAUGGUCUCUAUUUUUACAUGGUAUUCCAUGUCUCCAUUUUUCUUCUCCAGUUUUGAAUUUAAAGAAUUUCUAGAUUUUAUACAAAAGCAAUCUGGGGAGAUAAAGUCAAUAGAAUUCUUCAUCAUUGCUCAAUCUGUUUAAAAAGCAAAAGACCAAAGAUAGAUUCUUCCUAUCAAUGAUCAGACUUUGUGAUAGACUCCUCUCCAAAAAGUUACCAAGACACUGUUACACGGAACAAAGAUUUAAUAAAAAUUGCUGAUAGCCAAGAGUAAUAUGGGAAGAGUAAAAAUAAAUGUUAUAUACCUACAGGAUAAUAAUGAAACAAAUGAUUUUUUAGUGAAUUUUUAACUUACCAACAUUUUUCAGAUAUUUGCUCAAAUCCUUGUCUCUUUAGAAAAGUCUUGGGUUUUUUUUUUCAGAAGUCUUCCCAAAUGAGGAUUUCAUUCUUUUCUGUUUGGAGGGAAACAUUUUACGAAAGAAAGAAAGAA